GAUGAAGAACGCAGCGAAAUGCGAUACAUGGUGUGAAUUGCAGAAUCCCGCGAAUCAUCGAGUUUUUGAACGCAAGUUGCGCCCGAAGCCAUUCGGCCGAGGGCACGUCUGCCUGGGUGUCACGCAUCGUUGCCCCCCCAAACUCCGGUUCGGGCGGGGCGGAAGUUGGCUUCCCGUGCGUGCCUGCGCGCGCGGUUAGCCCAAAAGCGAGUCCUCGGCGAUGAGCGCCACGACAAUCGGUGGUUUUUUUACCCUCGUUCCUCGUCGUGCGUGCCCCGUCGCCCGAACGCGCUCUUGCAACCCUUACGCGUCGCCUCGGUGGCGCUCCCAACGCGACCCCAGGUCAGGCGGGACUACCCGCUGAGUUUAAGCAUAUCAAUAAGCGGAGGA
rnacentral:misc_RNA from 1 species